rnacentral:rRNA from 1 species
GUGUCGUGAGAUGUUGGGUCAAGUCCCGCAACGAGCGCAACCCUUGUCCUUAGUUACCAGCGGUUUGGCCGGGAACUCUAAGGAUACUGCCAGUGACAAACUGGAGGAAGGCGGGGACGACGUCAAGUCAUCAUGGCCCUUACGACCAGGGCUACACACGUGCUACAAUGGUAGGUACAGAGGGCAGCUACACAGCGAUGUGAUGCGAAUCUCAAAAAGCCUAUCGUAGUCCAGAUUGGAGUCUGCAACUCGACUCCAUGAAGUAGGAAUCGCUAGUAAUCGCGGAUCAGAAUGCCGCGGUGAAUACGUUCCCGGGCCUUGUACACACCGCCCGUCACACCAUGGGAGUUGAUUGCACCAGAAGUGGGUAGCCUAACCUUUUAGGAUGGCGCUCACCACGGUGUGGUUGAUGACUGGGGUGAAGUCGUAACAAGGUAACCGUA